rnacentral:misc_RNA from 1 species
UCCAGGUAUUGUUAACCCUUCCUAUCAUAGUCCACAACCUACGUAUACGAUGGCUAGCCCUAAUCAACAACACAACAGUCAAUUGUUGAUGAUCCAGCAACAACAGCAAGCCCAACAACAACAACAACAACAACAGCAGCAACAACAGCAACAAAACCAUCAACAGCACCAGCAACAACAGCAGAUGAUGAUGAGCCAUGGGCAACCUCCUCCUAAUAAUAUGGGUCCUUAUGGUACGUCGCCACCUCAGCGAGGUGGGAAUAGCCCUCCAGCUGCAACGGGACAAGAACCAACCACAAGUGAAGAUAGCGAUGAUAGUACACCUCAUUCAGCCAUGUUAUCGGGAAUCAAAAGGCCAUCUCCUGAACCGGCGGACCAAGCUCUAACUAAAGUUCAGAAGAAGCCGAAGGUGCAGAAAAAGAAAAAGAAGAGAGAUCCAAACGAACCACAAAAGAAUGUUUUUUCCAGGCCCGUCUCUGCGUACGCACUAUUCUUUCGGGACACCCAGGCAGCUAUCAAAGGACAAAAUCCUAACGCCAGUUUCGGAGAAGUUUCUAAAAUUGUUGCAUCCAUGUGGGAUUCUUUAGAUUCCGAACACAAAAAUGUUUACAAAAAGAAAACUGAGGCAGCUAAGAAGGAGUAUUUGAAAGCUUUGGCAGCUUAUAGGGCAAGUCUUGUUUCUAAAGGAGCCAGUGAAAAUGAAAAUAUGUACGGUAAUUAUGGCAACUAUGGGGGAGGUGCCCCACAACCUCCUCAAUAUAACGCGUACUCUCCCCAAAACGCUCUUCCUUCACCCCCAAUGUCUUCAGCACCUACUCCUCCCACUUCCCAACAAUCGACGAUGAGUAAGAGGGGGCCACCCAUGAUGAGUAAUAUGACCAGCCAACAACCCCAGCAACAUCAGGGAAUGAUGCCGUCACCUAUGCAAUCUCCUAUGGGACACGUGCCAAAUCACAUGAAUAUGCAACAGCACGUGGCACAACAACACAACAACAGCUAUAUGCAACAGGAAAUAUUUGUUGCAGGUGACCCAACAACAAGUAAAUCAGCACCCUCCACACAUGCAGCAUGUAAGUCCUCCUCCUAUGGUGUCCAGUUCUUCCCCAGUAUCGUCCACAGGACCACCACCCCAAUCAUCAGUUUCUCAACAAAACAUAGGACAACCAGGAAUGCGCCCCAAUUCAUGCAUACGUCAUGGAUGUACUAAUCCAGCCAUAUCCAAUCCAGAGUGGGAAGAUGAGUAUUGCAGUAACGAAUGUGUUGUCAGUCAUUGCCGGGAUGUCUUCACAACUUGGGUUGCAAACAAU